UCUGGGCACAGGCGGAUGGACAGG
rnacentral:miRNA from 1 species